rnacentral:hammerhead_ribozyme from 1 species
ACUCAACUGACGAGUCCCGAAUGGGACGAAACGCGCGUCCUGUAU